UUUCCGUAGGUGAACCUGCGGAAGGGUCAUUAAUGAGUUGUCAUGGGGUUCGAUGCUGGCAGCCAAUUUUUGGAUGCAUGUGCUUGCCCUAACAAUCAUCUUCCAAACACCUGUUCACAUUUUUGAGGAAAUCUUGAGUUGGUUGCCGCUCUUGGGUGAUUUUCUCACAUUCCCUUAAAUCAUUAUACGCUAUUAACAAUGUUGAACGUGCUCUGUGCCGCAAGGCUAUUAAUAUAAUACAACUUUUAACAACGGAUCUCUUGGCUCUC
rnacentral:misc_RNA from 1 species